AGAAAAAUAGGGGUGAAAUAAUUAUUAUAUAAUAAUGAAGAAAGCAUAGUGUAACGGUUAUACUUUAUAAGGACCUAGGUGUAAGGUAUCACCCAUCUGGAAUUAUGAGUCUAUUUUGGAAGGACUCAUUGGCUUUUGGUACGUUAGUGACAGAAAGCUUUGGUCUUAGUUGAGGCUUGAAGAAAUAGGAGAAACUCCAUCAGUAGAAAGGAAAAAAUAUUUUUUAGUGAGGCUGGAGGAUUUAUCUUUCCUUCUGUUAUUUAUCUACCGUAUCUAUUGUUACUAUCAACGGGAUUAACUAGCUCACGAAGGCGCAUCUUUUUUUUUUAUUCAUCUCAAUUGGCCUUAGUCUUAUAUAAUUGUGUAAUUAAUAUUAUGUUUAAUGUUUAUAUUUUUAAUAAUAUAAUAGUGCUGAUUCUUUCAUUCUUUGUAGAUAUCAGCUUGACAUCCCUGUCAAACUGGGAAUUAUCUUCUCUUAUCACCAAAGCAGGGCAAACUACUUAGACCAAGGUAUUUAUAAUCAGAAUGAACACUCCGAAGAGAAAUCUUUUACCUUGUGCUGUGUUAAUCUACUACUCCCCUCAUGUGAACUCCGGGAAGGUUAUUCUUACUAUAGAAUUCCCAAAGCCAAGGACAUUCGUGCAAUAUGGAUCCAAGCUUGUCAUAGACAAGACCCAUUCAAUCUCGAAACUGCCAGAGUUUGUUCUAUUCAUUUUGAGGAAGACUGCUGUCAGAGAAAUCUUAAGACCAAGCUCAUGUCUAACUAGAGAAGGACUUCUAGUAGCAAGGAACACAAAAAUAAAAAAAAUUGUCAAUGAACUUCUCACUCCUCCCAAACAAGGAAGUUUGAAAGUUGAUAAGCUACCUGAACAAUGCUCUGAUGCUAUGGAAGUAUCAUUUGAAUAUUUAAAGCCUUCUUUGGAUGUCUCCUUGGGACUAUUGAAGAGCAUGUAAUACCACAACAAAACACAAAUGUAUCAGUACAGACAGAUAUGUAUAAUGAACAGCUUCUUCAUUAGGUGAAGGAAAAGAAAAGACUUCUCAUGAAAAUAAAUAGACUUGAAGAAAAAAAAGUUAUUUCCCUUCAAAUAGUCAGUUCGAUCAAAAAUGCAUCUAAAAGAAAUAACUGUAAAGCCUAUAAAUGUAAAUUACGUAAAAUAUUUUCACCAAGUCAAGUCAAUGUUCUAAUGAAUGAGAAAGUCAGACAUAAAAAUGGAUGGAAGAAGAUAUUCAGAGGUAUCUCAUUCUGAGAUCAAUGACUGGAGGAAAAGCUUAUAAAUUCAGAAGAAAUUUCCCCUGCCCUAGUUAGCCUUAUCUAUCUUAAGGAAAUGGAUUUCCAAAUUUAAAUAUAGUUCUGGAAUUCAAUACAAACUUUUGGACAUUUUAAAUAAACAGAUGGAUGAGCUCUCUCAAAUGGAUGUCCAUUUAAUCCGUCUUGGAGUGUUGUCUUUCGAUGAAAUGGAAUUGAAACGAAGUUAUGACUAUUCUCAAUCUUUUGAUCAAGUCUUUGGCCCGAACAGGAAGAUUCAGGUGGCAAUAAUUACGGGUUCUUCGUGAUUCUUGGAAGAUGCCUGUUUAUUUUGAUUUUGACAAAGCAAUGACUAUUGAAAAUCUAUUCGGUAUCAUUAAAAAAAUAAAAGAAAGUGGAAUAUCUGUAGUGGCCAUAGUAUCUGAUAUGGGUCCCUCAAAUGUGGGAUUGUAAAGGACAUUGGGAAUAUCCAAAGAUUCUCCUUACUUUUGGAAUCCAUUCAACACAUCCAAAAAGGUUUACGUCUUUUAUGAUACACCUCACCUCAUCAAACUAUUGAGAAACCAUCUCUUGGAUAAAGGAUUUAUGUUGUCGGACGGAUCUACCACCACAAAAAAUGAUUUCCUAGCAUUGAUGGCAAAAGAUUCAAACGAACUAAAAAUGGCUUAUAUGAUUAAAGAUAUUCAUUUAGAAUACCAAAAUAGUCAAAGACAACGUGUAUAUCUAGUAACACAACUAUUGAGCCAUACAACUGCCUCGUCGCUGCAAUAUCUAUUUCCUGAAAGUAAGCCUCAAGUGGAUUUGAUCAAAACAGUAGAUUCAUGGUUCGACGUCUUCAAUAGUAGGAAGCCUUUUGACUCCAAAAUAAACUUGUGUGGAUUUGGUAAUCAUAAUAAGGAACAGGAAGAGGCUCUUAAAUAGAUGAAAGAGUAUCUGGGAAUAUCUUAAAUGUAUCUGGGAAUUGUUAAAGGAAAUAAAAUAAUUCUUUUCCAACGUGGAAUUUUGAUUUCCAUUGCCUCCUUGGUAAACUUAUUCUAAGACCUGAAGAGAGCAUCUAGAAUCAAAUAUACAUACUUCUAGGUUAAAUCAAGAUUGUCUCGAAAACUUUUUCUGCCGCUUGAGGGCCUUGGGAGUAUCCAACGGCCACCCAACUAGUGUUGAUUGUAUCAAUAAACUAAGACUAGUUGUUUUUGGCAAAGCCAACUGACUUCAUAUUGGGUCCAUAUCAGUUCGAAUAGAAGAGGUAGAAACCUCAUCAAAGGAUAACUUUCUUGGUUGUUUAAUUAAUGAAAUAGAACCGGAAAAUAAAGAAACGGAAAUAGAUUAGGAAGAAUAUGAAGAUGCUUCCCUUUUAGCUACCGAGUUGGCUAUAAAUCCGGUUUCGGAAUUCGAAGCACCGUCAAAUUCUUCCUCCUCAUCCUAUGACUGUGGACUUCAAGGAUUGGGUUAUAUCAUUGGAUAGUUGGCCAAUAAGUUUUCUUUGAAAUAUCCUGAAAUGGGGUUCAAGACUAAAGAUGAUCCUUUUUGUGAUUCAGAUAUGACACCGUGGAUAUCAGCAUUAUCUGAAGGAGGACUGACAUAACUUAAAAAUUCCUUCCUCACUCAGAUAAAAAAAAUGAUGCAAUCUUUGAAGUAUAUCAUGGACAGGAAAUAUCGAGCCAACCUAAUGUUAUUGAGACUUUAAUAUAAAUUCUUCAAAAUUUAGCCUGAGAUUUUCCCCAAAAUAUUAUUAGAAAGUACUCUUGUCUAAGAACAUUUAUAAGAAU
rnacentral:lncRNA from 1 species